rnacentral:rRNA from 1 species
AUGAACGCUGGCGGUAUGCUUCACACAUGCAAGUCGAACGGACUCUUCGGAGUUAGUGGCGGACGGGUGAGUAACGCGUGAGAAUCUGGCUUUGGGUUCGGGACAACCACUGGAAACGGUGGCUAAUACCGGAUGUGCCGAGAGGUAAAAGAGAAAUUGCCUGAAGAUGAGCUCGCGUCUGAUUAGCUAGUUGGUGAGGUAAAGGCUCACCAAGGCAGCGAUCAGUAGCUGGUCUGAGAGGAUGACCAGCCACACUGGGACUGAGACACGGCCCAGACUCCUACGGGAGGCAGCAGUGGGGAAUUUUCCGCAAUGGGCGAAAGCCUGACGGAGCAAUACCGCGUGAGGGAAGAAGGCUCUUGGGUUGUAAACCUCUUUUCUUAGGGAAGAACAAAAUGACGGUACCUAAGGAAUCAGCAUCGGCUAACUCCGUG